rnacentral:rRNA from 1 species
UACGAAGGGGGCUAGCGUUGCUCGGAAUCACUGGGCGUAAAGGGUGCGUAGGCGGGUUUUAAGUCAGAGGUGAAAUCCUGGAGCUCAACUCCAGAACUGCCUUUGAUACUGAAGAUCUUGAGUUCGGGAGAGGUGAGUGGAACUGCGAGUGUAGAGGUGAAAUUCGUAGAUAUUCGCAAGAACACCAGUGGCGAAGGCGGCUCACUGGCCCGAUACUGACGCUGAGGCACGAAAGCGUGGGGAGCAAACAGGG